UUGUCUCGUUCUUUGAAACCGUCUACACUCAACAUAAUAUUACACUGUACACAGCAAGUACAUAGCAAGUCUGAAUAGUUAGAAUCUAUUUUGUUAAUUGUUUUUCUAGUCGUUAAAUAAAAUUUCAUUGGCAGUCGUUAAUACCGUUUGUUCGGAAACUAGAAAGACACGUAAUAAAACGUUUAACUAAAUUUAAAAUAAAAGCGGAUACCCAAAGAAUGUUUGACCACAAAACCCAAAACUCUGAACUUCACAAUUGCCAUUUUUCAGGAAUAACACCUGGAAGAAUUUGGGAAUUAAAACUGAAACAGUCGAGAGUCGGAUAUAUCUUAGACGGAAAAUGUAUGUCAGCCGUUGGAAUCACAAAUUUUGAAUAGUUUAGUGAAAAAUUUGAAAUUAAAUUACUCAAAAAAUGAUGAACUAGAAAUGUGCUCAGAAGAGAACUGUGGAAAAUACAUAUAGUUUUGGUGAAAAUGUUUUCAAGGAUGCUGAAAUAACAAUCGAAGAAAAAAAUGAAACUAUCGAUUGCAACUAUGUAACAAAGAUAAAAAUCAAAGAAAAAGAUGAGCCAUUUAAUACACAAUUUUGCGAUGACUUUGUGAAAGAUAAAACCAAAAUACUUUAAAGAAACUUAAGUAGUUUGACAGAAUAGAAUGUACCCAGAAACAAGAAUAGAUGAAAAUACAUACAAUGUUGAGAUGACGAGCAAUAGACUGAAUAUUAAAACUAAAAGAAAUAGGAGUUACAUAUUUUCACUCGAAAAGAAACAGACAGAUGAUGAUCGACAAUGAAAAAAUGGCAAAUAAAAAAAAGGGUUGUUCCACUGCAACGUGUGUCAUUUUGUAAAACCGCAGGCUAAUACUUAAAAAAAGGAGAACAAUUGCUCUGAAAACCCAUUGUCAAAAUUCUUGAAACUACUGCCAACAAACAUGAUCUAAAGGAAUAAGGCUGCCACAAAUGUGAUGUCUAUUUAAAGUCUUUAGUAAACUUAUGUUUGCGUUCAAGAUCCGCUUGCAGUUUACGAUUUUAUAAAUUUAUUAUAUUGUUAAUGUAAAUUGGAAUUUUUAUUUACAAUAAAAUAUUCUACUUGUGUGUUUAUAAUAUUACACAUAAUGUAAUUAUA